rnacentral:hammerhead_ribozyme from 1 species
GCACUUCUGACGAAUCCCAAACAGGACGAAACAGCUGUCCAGUGC